rfam:Heligmosomoides polygyrus genome assembly, scaffold: HPBE_scaffold0000234
GCGCCGGUGGUGUAAGGCGAACAUCGCUGCCCGGAAAGCAGAAGAUGCGGGUUCGAGUUCCGCCCGGCGCA